UGCUGCGUUCGUGCCCUCCUUAUUCUUGCUGUCCCGUACUGACUCUGACCUCCUUCUUUCCCGCAGCUCCUCGCAAGUCUUCACUCUGUCCAUCCUCCCCAUUCUCAUGCUGCCAAAUGGCAGCUUUUCUCUUGCUGACCUCUCUCGCCUGCCUUCCCUUCUUGCGUACUGACCUCUCGCCUAUGCUGCCUUUUUUCCUGUGCACUCACGCUGCCAAGGGCAGCUGUCUGUCCUCCCUCAGCUCUCCUGCGCUCUUCUGUCCGUGUGGCUGUCUGUGUGGACUUCCUCGGUUUCUCUCUCCACGCAGCUCAGCUGCUUCUGU
rnacentral:lncRNA from 1 species